rnacentral:rRNA from 1 species
UGGGGAAUCUUGGACAAUGGGCGCAAGCCUGAUCCAGCAAUACCGCGUGAGUGAUGAAGGCCUUAGGGUUGUAAAACUCUUUCAGUGGGGAAGAUAAUGACGGUACCCACAGAAGAAGCACCGGCUAACUCCGUGCCAGCAGCCGCGGUAAUACGGAGGGUGCAAGCGUUGUUCGGAAUUACUGGGCGUAAAGAGUGCGUAGGCGGCUUGGCAAGUUGGGAGUGAAAUCCCGGGGCUCAACCUCGGAAUUGCUCUCAAAACUGCUGAGCUAGAGUAUGGUAGGGGAUAGUGGAAUUCCUAGUGUAGGGGUGAAAUCCGUAGAUAUUAGGAGGAACACCAGAGGCGAAGGCGACUAUCUGGGCCAUUACUGACGCUAAGGUACGAAAGCGUGGGGAGCAAACAGGAUUAGAUACCCUUGUAGUCCCUGAGCGGGCUGGCAAGGCGCAU